AAUGAUCAGUUGUAACUCAAAUCAAUCACUCAAAUCAAUCUUUCAGAAUCCGAUAAACCUAAUUUGAAGCACCGGAACAUCAAGAAGCUGUAGACAAGGUUGGUGAUUCCUGCUUGUGCUUAAAUCAUAGUAAUCAUGAGAUUCAAGAAAGGCAGUAAGGUGGAGGUGUUUAGCAAAAAGGAGGUGUCCACUGGUUCUUGGCUUUGUGCUGAAGUAAUUUCUGGGAAUGGGCACACAUAUAGCGUGAGAUAUGGUUGGUUUCCAUCGAGUGACAAAGCAGUUGUAGAAAGGGUGCCUAGGAAAGCAAUUAGGCCCUGUCCACCUCCUGUGCAAGGGGUAGAUUGGGUUUGUGGUGAUCUUGUUGAGGCUUUUCAGAACCUCUCUUGGCAAACAGCAAGGAUAAUGAAGGUUAUGGACAAGAACAGCUUUUUGGUUAGAAUACUUGGAAAGUGUGAAGCUUUGCGUGUUCAUAAAUCUCAUUUAAGAGUACGUCAGCGCUGGCAAGAUGGUAAAUGGAUUGUGGUUGAAAAGGGUUUGGAGAUUUGGCGCAUGAUUUUGGGUAAAAAUCAGCCAACUAUGGGGAUAAAUCAAUACUUUGGAGACAAUCAUGGUCUUAUAGGGAGAAGUAUCGAAAUUCAAAAGCAUCAUAUGGUUUCAACAAGAAAAUUGAAGAGAGGAUCAUCACUUGGCUUGUAUGAUCUUGAAGCUCAUCCGGUAACUGCUCAAAAGAAGAGACUGGUUGAAAAAGAUGGUAGCCAUCAUCCAAUUUGUUCAGUGCAUCCAUCUCCGACUCUUGAAAAGGUAGACACUGAUGUUUAUCCAAAUGUAGUAUUGGGUAAAAAUCAUGUUCUCUCUUCCUUUAAUGUUGGAACGGCUGAGUUUUCUAGAAUGGAUGAAAGUAGGGGAAAUGAUAAUUCUCUUGUUGAGUCCUCAAUAUCUGUGCAUACUGAUACUUGUGCAUCCUCUGUUGGUAGUUGUAGUGAAAUGGGCAGGGAUUCUCAGAGCUUGCCUUUUAGGUUUUGUUCGCCACAUUUUAACUGUAUAGAAGAUUACUGUAGUGAUGCUGAAUCCUCAUCUGGAGUGGAUUAUGAGAAAGAAAGAUGUUCUUUGGAUGCACAAUUGGGAGUGGAAUUCCAUAGGUCAGAAUUACGUAAGUAUUGUGCUGUUAUUGAGGAAUUAUAUGCUUUAGGGCCUUUGAGUUGGGAAGAUGAAGCAAAGUUGACAAAUCUACGUCAUGUUUUUCAUAUUUCAGAUGAUGAGCAUUUGAUGGUGCUAAGAAAAUUGAUACAUUCUAAUAGCAUGCUUGUCAGCUGACUUGAUUUAGUCUCCAUUUUUUUUCUCCUCUGUAUAUUCUGUCAUUGAUAUCGAGAGGUUGUACAGGACUAAAUGGCAUGAUAGAAAUGUAUAAUGAAUUUAACAAGUGUCAAGUUAUUCAGCUUAUUCCUUUUAGUUUUCCUAAAAUUUUAUUUUAUUCCAUUGCCUGAAUUUUUAUUAAAUAUCAGCAAAAUCACAGUAGUCAUUUGUCAUCAUUUGUAACAUUUCUUUGUGUAUGUGGUAAUUUCCACUUGUUCAGUUCAUUGAACUUGUAUUGUGGAGCAGUUUGUCAAAUAGAUUUUAAAUAAAUCUUCCGCUUACAUGAGAAGAUGAUCAUUUGCUAAAUUAGUAAAUAUCGUACUAUCCAAAUAUUUUGAGGAUAUGAGAUAAAUUUUUUUUUUUUUCAAAUGUCAAAUUACAUUUCCAGUGCAAGUCCUCCAAAGUUUUGUGUGAGGUUAAACAUUUGUGAAUUGCACAACGUGUGGUUUUUUUAUAUGCAAGAACCAGAAUUGUCAGGAGUUCUUUUGAUAUGAUCAUUUUACGGGAUUUUCCAUCAAACCUUUUUCAUAUCUCCUGUAAUGUAUGAUGUUUAGCAGCAUGGAGAUUAAGGUGAUGAAUAUGCUGAUGCUUCACCCGAGCAUAUCAUGGCCGAUAUUGGAGGCUUGCUUGUUAGUAGAAGCCUCAUGAUGAUGGAUGUUUCAGAGUUACCCUCGUACUCAGUUGGACCUUGGGGCAGCAUCCACACUUGAUUUCUCGCAGAAACUUGUGACUGGCUGCCCUGGCCAUUGUCUGUUCAGGUUUCAGAAUUUCAUGAACAUCCCACUAUCGGCGUUAUUCAUUAGAUGCCGCUACAGAACAUUUUUAAGCUGAUAGAUAUACUGAUGCUUCCCCAGGAAAUCCAAUGGACAAUGUCCAAGGCUUUUACACGUGUACAGAAUUCACCAGAUGAUGAUGCAUAAUGUUCAUCACUGUACGUCAUGUAUUUCCUACUGAAGUUGUUGUACCUAUCAGCCUUGGCUGUUGUGAUAAGUUUUUCCUUCUCUAAUAGCACUAGCUUCCUUUGAUGUUUUAUUUCGUUGAUGAAAAUUUAUGAAUUUCAUCUUAAGAUUCCUUAAUAAAAAUAAAAAUUCUGAACUUCAUAUUUGGCAGGGUACUCAAAUAUUAAGUUCAGUAGCUUGCUGUUCUGUGUAUUCUGUUAUACAAAGUUUCUUGUGGAUUAGA